GGAAUUUGAACAAGUUUGACUUUUGUGUCUCAUUUAUAGUAAAAAUAAAUAGAGACGGGUGGAUUUACUUCAGCUCCAGUGUUUAUUAUGUCUCUAAUGUGAAGAGGAGCUGGACUGAGAGCAGAAUCGAAUGCCAAAAUAGAGGAGCAGACCUGGUGAUCAUCAACAGCAGAGAAGAACAGGUCUUCAUUAACGUGUUGGGAAAAGGUCAGGAGGUUUGGAUUGGUCUGAGUGACGGUGAAAAAGAGGGGGUCUGGAAAUGGGUGGACGGAUCAGAACUGAUCACUGGGUUCUGGAGACCUGGAGAACCCAACGGCCUUGAAAAAGAGAACUGUCUCUUAACAAGCUAUGACUGGAUUGAUCAUGGCUGUUCUCUGCAGUAUGUUUGUAUCUGUGAAAAAGAAUAUAACGAGUAGAUGUUGAAGUUGAAUGAAUAGAAGAAGUUGAAUCUGCUGAAAACAGGAGUGUUCUAUAAAGAUUUGUUUCACUAUUCUUAAGCCUGAUUAAUCCUAGUCAUAGAUAGUUUUUUUACUUUCAGUAGAGAAUCUCAGACCAAACACUCUUCUAAUGAAUGCAUUCAGUUACUUUAAACUGCUGAUGCAGAUGUGCAAAUGAACAUAGUCAGCUUGUCUAUCCCUGUAUAUAAGGAAAUUGGUGCUAUAAAUGCACAGCUACUAAACCUAAUCAUUUAUUUCUUAUUUUACUCUAUUUUCUAAAAUAGAUCUGUAAGGCCAAUUAACCAACCACUAUUUAUAUAAACCCGCUUCAUCACUAACAUUGAGGAAGUGUGUCCAAAAUUUUGACUGGCACUGUACCAUAUGAAUAGUUGGUCAGCUACUAUGAUUUAUGGUACUUGAUUUAUUUUUUCUUUGUUCUGCCUUAAAUACAUUUUUAAUGUCAACUAAAUAAAAUAGUUUUAGAAUAUUCUUGAAGGGCUUUUACCCACUAUUUUCUUUCUGGUGCUUUUUAAUAAAGACAGUUAGCACUAGGACUGGUAAGGGGAAAGUUUCUUUUUAGAAUUUUGUUUCUCGUUCACCAGUAGAUAACUUUGUAGUGUUACAGUUUGGGAUGUUCUAUUGCUUUUUUAAACUUUUUCUUUUAGCUAAGAUGGUUAUUAAUUG